rnacentral:rRNA from 1 species
AACGAACGCUGGUGGCAUGCCUAACACAUGCAAGUCGAACGAUACCUUCGGGUCUAGUGGCGCACUGGUGCGUAACGCGUGGGAAUCUGCCCUUGGGUUCGGAAUAACAGUUGGAAACGACUGCUAAUACCGGAUGAUGACGUAAGUCCAAAGAUUUAUCGCCCAGGGAUGAGCCCGCGUAGGAUUAGCUAGUUGGUGGGGUAAAGGCCUACCAAGGCGACGAUCCUUAGCUGGUCUGAGAGGAUGAUCAGCCACACUGGGACUGAGACACGGCCCAGACUCCUACGGGAAGCAGCAGUGGGGAAUAUUGGAAAAUGGGCGAAAGCCUGAUCCAGCAAUGCCGCGAGAGUGAUGAAGGCCUUAGGGUUGUAAAGCUCUUUUACCCGGGAUGAUAAUGACAGUACCGGGAGAAUAAGCCCCGGCUAACUCCGUG